AUUGAACGCUGGCGGCAGGCCUAACACAUGCAAGUCGAGCGGAUGAAGGGAGCUUGCUCCUGGAUUCAGCGGCGGACGGGUGAGUAAUGCCUAGGAAUCUGCCUGGUAGUGGGGGAUAACGUCCGGAAACGGGCGCUAAUACCGCAUACGUCCUGAGGGAGAAAGUGGGGGAUCUUCGGACCUCACGCUAUCAGAUGAGCCUAGGUCGGAUUAGCUAGUUGGUGGGGUAAAGGCCUACCAAGGCGACGAUCCGUAACUGGUCUGAGAGGAUGAUCAGUCACACUGGAACUGAGACACGGUCCAGACUCCUACGGGAGGCAGCAGUGGGGAAUAUUGGACAAUGGGCGAAAGCCUGAUCCAGCCAGGCCGCGUGUGUGAGGAAGGUCUUCGGAUUGUAAAGCACUUUAAGUUGGGAGGAAGGGCAGUAAGUUAAUACCUUGCUGUUUUGACGUUAACAACAGAAUGAGCACCGGCUAACUUCGUG
rnacentral:rRNA from 1 species